GCGUCGGUAAAGCAACGGUCUAGCACGCGCUCCCGGAAAUGAGUGAAAUCUGGGUUCGAAUCCCGGCUGACGCA